UACGUAGGGUGCAAGCGUUAAUCGGAAUUACUGGGCGUAAAGCGUGCGCAGGCGGUUUUGUAAGUCUGACGUGAAAUCCCCGGGCUCAACCUGGGAAUUGCGUUGGAGACUGCAAGGCUGGAGUCUGGCAGAGGGGGGGUAGAAUUCCACGUGUAGCAGUGAAAUGCGUAGAGAUCGGGGAGGAACACCCUGUGGCGAAAGGCG
rnacentral:rRNA from 1 species